rnacentral:lncRNA from 1 species
UUGCAAUGAAUUAAAGGGAAUAAUUUAUACAUUAUUCAAUUCUUUUCUCUAUUUUAUAUAUUAUACAUGGUGGCUGCCUAGAGACAACUAAUUGCACAAGUUAUGCCUACAUAAGGUAUCCAUACAUGUUCACAAAAAAAAGAACAAGCAACACAAUAGAAAGGCCUGCCAAAUAAGAGCACCACUGACUCCACCCUUUUUUAUAAUGAAAGCACCAUUUUCAAUCCAUGUAGAAAAUGAAUCACGACCAUACUACUGUAUAAAUGAGUGAAUAAAAAACCCUUACAGGAGUAGGACGUUCCACAUCAAGAAAUACAACCCGUAAUAUCUGCUCAACAGCAACUUGAUCCUUUUGUUCAUCAAACUGAAAUGAAACAAGAACAGAAUCUUCACCAAGGAUGAAAGAUAAAUAUUUGAUAGCAAUGCAGAAGCCACUCCAACUCUCCUUCAAAUUUACUCAUAAUAACCGUAGUAUGCAUAUCAAAAUACUAUAUUAGUCCCAUAAUAUUCAGCUUGAGAGAUGCAAGUUUGAUGUAUAGUGGUUGCCACAUAGUACAAAAAAGAAUGAAUCAAACCAUCAUAACAGGUACAGUUCAUACCAGCUCAGGUACAUAGUCCAUCGGUCCUUUCACCUUCAGGCUCAUGAUCUUAAACUUCACCCUGCUUUUCUGAUCCAUUGGCUUUUCAUUGUUCUCCGGAUUCUCCACAAAUUUAAAUACUUUUGAUACAAAAAAAAAGUCAAAACUAACUCAAUAUACAACUUGAAGUGAAGACCAAAUAUCAAAUAUGAUUAUCUCAACAAGCUAAUUUGGACAACUCUGUAUAAUGUGGCAACUAUAACUAUGCUAUGAAAAGAAAAACAUGAAGAAAGAUCAUAAAGAAGACAUUACCAGUAGCUAUAAGACUCUCGCCAGGAGCAAGAAUUGCCCCUGGAGGACGCAUAAAACAGCUCUUUGGUGCAGUUGUUUGGAACUAAAUCACAUAAGCAAGAAGCAUUAAUCAACAAAAUUAAGGACAUUAUAGGUCAGAAAAGAAAUAUUUAUUAUGAACACAUUUACUAACACUGUAUCACUGCCCUAAAAAGAUGCAUCAUGGUCAAGAUACGGAAGGAAUACAGGUAUAAUACCUUAAAAGCUACAUGAGAUUUGCUUGUAUUUUUAAUCCCAAUCGCACUCCGGACUUGUUUGCCAGGUUCGUCUAAAAUGAUACAAAAAAAGGUUCAAAUGUAAGCACUACUACCAUAUUUAACAGCACCUCAUACAAGAAAACGUAAGCUGAAAAUUAAAUUACAGGGCUAUAAUUUUGUACUCCAAUGCAGAUAUAUGUAACAUCUACAAAAAUUCAACCCAUUCUAAAAAAGCAACAGCAAAAGACGGCCAUGCCAGAGAAAUAAAUUUAGCUAAUAAACAUACACAUGUUAAAAGACAUCAAGAUCAUCAGACAUCAAGAACAUAUACAAGUGUAAACUGAGAGGAGGCUUUAUCAUCAAGUGACCUUGUCUUUCCUAUUUACAUUUUGCAUUGGUAGGGUGUAAAAUGGAAGAAGAAAUUAAAACAUUAACAAUCUCUUAACCAAAGCUUUUGUGAGAAGUUCGCAAACUCAACUAUCACUCUUCUUGUAGACAUAACAAUUCUAGCUAUAUACAAAACCAUUACCCAGUAAAGGCUCAAACAGAUAUACAAAUAAAACAUUUUUCGCACAUGUCCAGAUAAUCUUAACGGACAUAGAUACGAAGGACGUGCCUUCUACUCGUAAAAUUAUUUCUUUAAUUCACAACCUUUUUUCCUGAUUCAUGGCUAUACAUGCAAUAUGAUUUACCUCAUCUAUAGUCUGCAUGUGUGAAACAAUNAUUUUUUUAACAAAUGAAUACUUAUUUAUAUAAAUAAGAAAGGAUAAAUGAUUUUUAAAUAUUCAGUUUUAAAAGAUAAUAUGUAAGUAUGGAAUUGUAUUCUCAAAUAAGUCUAAAGUUUGAUAAAAUAAGAACACAUUAUAGCAUUUUCAACCACACAAAACCCUUAGCUAAAAUACAAGAAAUCUGUGUUACACAUUAUUUGUAUUGAACUGAUAUAUUCAAUUUUAACAAACUAAAAUAUUAAUAACAUACUAUUUUUAAAUUAUAACCAACCAAUAUAGCCAAUACCAUUCGAGUGCAACAGUUUCGGCAAAUUAUGCAUAAUAUCGUAUAUAUUUUAUUUUAACAAACUAAAAUAUUAAUAACAUACUAAUUUUAAAUUAUAACCAACUAAUAUAACCAAUACAAUGUCUUGCCUUUUCAGCAAAUCAUAAUAAUAUAAUAUCUCUUAGGUCCAAUUUUAACCAAUAAUUAUAGUCAACCUCUAAAUUACUGUUAGGCAACUUUGAGUCGAAUUUGUAUUAACAGUCCAGUUUUAAACAAAAAGUAUACUUGCACUCGUACUAUAACUAGGGAGAGAUCUUCUGGAAUGAGCAACUACACAUAUAUCGGGAGAAUUUAAAAUUCAAGUUUUAAGUAGAGAAGUAAAUGAGUAAACUCAAGUUUGCAGGAAUAAAGAACAUUCAAGCUACAUUGCUCCUUUGCAUGUCAAAUUAAGAAGAAAAAAGAUCACAGGAACUCUUAUUAAGCUAUAGAACUGUUAACCAAUCCUAUUAUUUAGCUGAUGCAGGAGCUCAUCAUCAUCAGUUGUUCCGGAUUCACAUAAUUAGAUGGCAGCUGAAAUCAAGCACUCCCAACAACACAAAGCCACUGGCCGACGAACAAUGUAGCGCAGUUGACAUUGGGGUUGAUGGAGUUGAACUCAUCAGCUGACAAGGCAAAACUCUGAGCAAUGCUAAAGCAAGUAUCUCCGCUGCUCACUCCAGUCACCAUAUCACAUGUUGGAACGGAUGCUUUUGCAAGCCUCCCUGUUUUCAGAAAUACAACUCAUAAACUAAUUUGCAAUACAAUAAUAAGUGAAAUUUUGGAGAGUUACAACGUGAUCAACAUUAAUUCAGAUAAUCAAAUUAACAAAGAUAUGAAUCCUGAAGAUACUUACUGGGCAAAACUGAUCUGCUUUCAGAAAUAGCAAAGAUGAGAAGAAGAGCAAGUGUGAGAAUGAGCAGGGCACUAUUGUUGUUGCUUGUCUUGGCCAUUGCACUAUUUGUUCUUGGAGGAAAGCAGCUAAGCCAGAUAAGAUGAGGAUACUUGCUUUCUUACUUCUGUGUUAGUGCUUCCUUAAACCCCACAUUUAUACUUUACAUUGAGGAAUGCGACCAGCAAGUAAGCCAAAAAUCAUUGUUUCCUUAGAAACAUACCCGCCCUCUUGUGACGCCAUGCGAUUUAACCAAUCAGGUACGCCGAUUUGUAUGCCCAUAACAGAUAGAUGAUCCACACACAGGUACCAGACAAAUCCAAAAUACUUAGUAAAACAUUAAGUAAAAAGUCCGACAAAUAAUUUAGUAACGCAUAAAGAAAUAGUGAGUUGCAGACUGCAGUAGUCAAUUAGUCAUUUAGUCCUCUUUCACUCAUUUGCCUAAUUAUCUGUCAUAUGUCUGAUGAGAGAGCAGACGCUUACUCACACUAGAACCUAUUUGGACUGGCAUAUUUUGGCCGACUAUAUUUUUUUUGUAAGACGAUUUAAUUCAGAACUAAACACUAACGAUUAUGCAAGCAGUUAAGACCCGGUUUAGCUGCAUUAAGUAAAUAAAACAUUUAAGACCCGGUUUAGCUGCAUCAAGUAAAUAAAACAUUUAACGUGAUUCCCAGUUCCCUGCAACAUGAUUCCGAUUUGCCCACUGUGCGAAGCAAAAGUGCGACAAAACAAGACUCAAGAGUCAGUCCCUUAAUGUCAUGUUGGUUUAUGCAAAUUGAUCAUGGAACAAUGCAACUAAUAUUAAAAAUUCACUUUUUGAAGAGAAAAAAAAUUGGAAUACAUUAUCUACAUAUUUGAAGCAGUUGACAAGAAAGGUAAUCAGUGGCUCAAGUUACAAACCAAACUCCUCAGGUCUUCUUUUGAACUUCUUUAAACACACAAAAAGUCCUUCACAGUUGCAAUAAAAAAAUAUGAAGGGCCAAGAACGAUACAUUUCAAUAAUAUUACAACAGAGCAAUAGGCACUUGAAGCAACACCAUAAAGGCAUAAACAAACAAUUUAUACUGAAUCUACUCCCUCCACCUGCUGUCGAGCAAGAUAUCUUUCUCUUCUUUCUUUCUACAAAAAAUAGAACAUAAUAACAUUAAGGAAAAAAUCCAGAAAGCAAUUUCUACAGGACUGUGAUUCGGAUUCAACAAAAACUAACCCAUUCAUCUAUGACCAGUCCUUCGCCAAUAAUCUUUGGACCUGUUUCUUCUGGAGGUUUUUUGCGAGACUCAACAGCAGCCUCAGCUUCAGCCAGCUGACGUUUUAAUUUCUCAAGAGCCUUGCAAUGAAUUAAAGGGAAUAAUUUAUACAUUAUUCAAUUCUUUUCUCUAUUUUAUAUAUUAUACAUGGUGGCUGCCUAGAGACAACUAAUUGCACAAGUUAUGCCUACAUAAGGUAUCCAUACAUGUUCACAAAAAAAAGAACAAGCAACACAAUAGAAAGGCCUGCCAAAUAAGAGCACCACUGACUCCACCCUUUUUUAUAAUGAAAGCACCAUUUUCAAUCCAUGUAGAAAAUGAAUCACGACCAUACUACUGUAUAAAUGAGUGAAUAAAAAA